rnacentral:rRNA from 1 species
AUUGAACGCUGGCGGCAUGCCUUACACAUGCAAGUCGAACGGCAGCACGGGCUUCGGUCUGGUGGCGAGUGGCGAACGGGUGAGUAAUGUAUCGGAACGUACCAUUGAGUGGGGGAUAACGUAGCGAAAGUUACGCUAAUACCGCAUAUUCUCUCCGGAGGAAAGCAGGGGACCGCAAGGCCUUGCGCUCUUUGAGCGGCCGAUAUCAGAUUAGCUAGUUGGUGGGGUAAAAGCCCACCAAGGCGACGAUCUGUAGCGGGUCUGAGAGGAUGAUCCGCCACACUGGAACUGAGACACGGUCCAGACUCCUACGGGAGGCAGCAGUGGGGAAUUUUGGACAAUGGGCGCAAGCCUGAUCCAGCCAUGCCGCGUGAGUGAAGAAGGCCUUCGGGUUGUAAAGCCCUGUCGAAUGGGACGAAAAGCUUCCGGGUUAACAGCCCGGAGGACUGACGGUACCGUUAAAGGAAGCCACGGCUAACUCUGUGCCAGCCGCCGCGGUAAAAC